UGGGGAAUUUUGGACAAUGGGGGCAACCCUGAUCCAGCAAUGCCGCGUGCAGGAAGAAGGCCUUCGGGUUGUAAACUGCUUUUGUACGGAACGAAAAGGCUCUGGUUAAUACCUGGGGCACAUGACGGUACCGUAAGAAUAAGCACCGGCUAACUACGUGCCAGCAGCCGCGGUAAUACGUAGGGUGCGAGCGUUAAUCGGAAUUACUGGGCGUAAAGCGUGCGCAGGCGGUGCUGUAAGACAGGCGUGAAAUCCCCGGGCUUAACCUGGGAAUGGCGCUUGUGACUGCAGUGCUGGAGUGUGGCAGAGGGGGAUGGAAUUCCGCGUGUAGCAGUGAAAUGCGUAGAUAUGCGGAGGAACACCGAUGGCGAAGGCAAUCCCCUGGGCCUGCACUGACGCUCAUGCACGAAAGCGUGGGGAGCAA
rnacentral:rRNA from 1 species